CUUCUUAGUAUUUACACGCUACCUCACUGCAAACAAAUCUGUAGUAUCUGGAACGUUACGAAGUGUCCCUGCCAAAUACAGUGAUUCAUUGCACUGCCUCAAUAAUGGGCAAGAAAAGAGGCUUUUGAGUUCCGUAACCCAUAACAACUUUGAAUAGAACAAAGGGCCCUCUCCAAAGUCAGUGAAGUUAAUAGAGCUCUUUUCACCACAGCCCAAUCUGAGUUUGUUGAACAACUAAAUAUAAGCUCCCUGCCUUCUCACUCGAGACACUCUCCAGCCGUGGCGAUAGUAGCUGUUCAUUUUCUGCAUACUGCCAUAAUGAAACAAAAUCAUAGGAGGCUAAAAAAGACGCUGACGGUCUACAGAGGCGACUGGAACCACUGAAAUGGAACCGGUACCGCCCAGCCGCCCGCUCCUCCACGCGCGGCCAGCACCGCCCGGAUCCUCCGGAAGGAUUUUUCAAUCCUGUAUCUGCUUAAAGAGCAACCAUUAAUCUAUAUCAAACAGAUCACUCAUGCACAUUAAGGAAGCCAUUUUCUCCCCCCUUUUCCUGGGCUGCACGUCCCUGCCCAGCACAGCUCUCCGCCUCUCUCGGCAGCAUGGAGAGCAGCACAGACCAAAUCACCAAAAGAACAGCGAAGGUGCUGUGGUUUGGUGACUUUUGUUGUCAGUAUUCCGCAUCGGAACACCAUGUGAAACAGUGGGAGUUCAAGAGUUAAUGUUCUGGUUCCGUUUACUGCCUCUUACGGGCAUUUGGAGCACCGCGAUGGAGGGGAGGGGCGGCAUCCCCGGAGGACGGCGCGGAGAGGAAGCGAGGCGGAGCUCCGGGCGGACCGCGGCCGUCCCUCCGUGUCUCCGUCCGUCGGGCCGGCUCAGCUCGCUGCGGAGGGCACGUGCUUCCCUCGCACUUCGGUACUCCCCUCUCCCAUCUGGCUGGAUUUCGUUGGAUUUAGUAAACUACCGUUCCUCCUCACAUCGCUGCCGCAUCACUUGCUCUCCCUGAUCAGAGGGAACAGUCCCUAGGGAUCGUGACCGCACGUUGGUUCCCACCUCAUCCCCAGUCUCCACAAUUUCAACCAAAGCUGAAAGAACAGCAGAAGUCUCAGAGACAUUCUGUGUUCCUGCAGAUGCUGAGAACUGCCAUAGGCAGCUCGGCAGCCACUGAGCCCACCCACCAGCACCAGCCGACCCCAGCUCCGCAGGGCCAAAGGGAUGGAGGAGCAGCUGCUACUGCUACGGGAGAGACCCGGGGGGCAGAGUGCAGCCUUCAGGGAACACGGA
ensembl:lncRNA